GAUAGGUAAAUUUAGGAAGAAGCAAACAAAAUUUAAAGAUAAAUAGAGCACAGUGACUAUUGAUUUUGGUUAGGCGGUCCGAAUGAUUUGUGAAUGUUGUAAUUGACUUAUUGAUUAGAGGUGGAAUGGCCUCGUCAAAGAUAGGCGAUCCCAACAGGUGCAGGCUGUCUUUGGGGGUAAUUUUGAUAUUUGGGGCGACGUUAUUGAAGUUUUGGGUGAUUUGCGAUACAGUGAGCGGGUCCGCCCUGUCGGAGAUGUAUAGUUCACAUUUAUUAUAAUUUAAUUCAAGGCCAAUAUCCCGGAACUGAUUUUUAAUUUUGACUAGAUCAGCCAAGACGGUCUGCGAAUCUCCACCUAUUGUCCCAUCGUCGAGGUACCACACGUUUAAUUUUGAAUUUAGAUUGUGUAUUAUCGAAUUUAUAGCCAAACUAAAUACUGCUGGCCCAAGAGGGUCACCCUGCUGACAACCUACGGCCGAAAGGAUCUCAUUGUUUUUGUAAAUUAAUUUUGAGGGAGAGUGGUAACACUGUAGAAGAAAAUUGUAGAUUUCCGGAACAUGAAUUUUUAUUUCGUUCAGCAGGGUGUCCCUAUUUACGGAAUUGAA